AGAGUUUGAUCAUGGCUCAGAUUGAACGCUGGCGGCAGGCCUAACACAUGCAAGUCGAGCGGUAGCACAGAGAGCUUGCUCUCGGGUGACGAGCGGCGGACGGGUGAGUAAUGUCUGGGAAACUGCCUGAUGGAGGGGGAUAACUACUGGAAACGGUAGCUAAUACCGCAUAAUGUCGCAAGACCAAAGUGGGGGACCUUCGGGCCUCAUGCCAUCAGAUGUGCCCAGAUGGGAUUAGCUAGUAGGUGGGGUAAUGGCUCACCUAGGCGACGAUCCCUAGCUGGUCUGAGAGGAUGACCAGCCACACUGGAACUGAGACACGGUCCAGACUCCUACGGGAGGCAGCAGUGGGGAAUAUUGCACAAUGGGCGCAAGCCUGAUGCAGCCAUGCCGCGUGUGUGAAGAAGGCCUUCGGGUUGUAAAGCACUUUCAGCGGGGAGGAAGGCGAUAAGGUUAAUAACCUUGUCGAUUGACGUUACCCGCAGAAGAAGCACCGGCUAACUCCGUGCCAGCAGCCGCGGUAAUACGGAGGGUGCAAGCGUUAAUCGGAAUUACUGGGCGUAAAGCGCACGCAGGCGGUCUGUCAAGUCGGAUGUGAAAUCCCCGGGCUUAACCUGGGAACUGCAUUCGAAACUGGCAGGCUAGAGUCUUGUAGAGGGGGGUAGAAUUCCAGGUGUAGCGGUGAAAUGCGUAGAGAUCUGGAGGAAUACCGGUGGCGAAGGCGGCCCCCUGGACAAAGACUGACGCUCAGGUGCGAAAGCGUGGGGAGCAAACAGGAUUAGAUACCCUGGUAGUCCACGCCGUAAACGAUGUCGAUUUGGAGGUUGUGCCCUUGAGGCGUGGCUUCCGGAGCUAACGCGUUAAAUCGACCGCCUGGGGAGUACGGCCGCAAGGUUAAAACUCAAAUGAAUUGACGGGGGCCCGCACAAGCGGUGGAGCAUGUGGUUUAAUUCGAUGCAACGCGAAGAACCUUACCUGGUCUUGACAUCCACAGAACUUUCCAGAGAUGGAUUGGUGCCUUCGGGAACUGUGAGACAGGUGCUGCAUGGCUGUCGUCAGCUCGUGUUGUGAAAUGUUGGGUUAAGUCCCGCAACGAGCGCAACCCUUAUCCUUUGUUGCCAGCGGUUCGGCCGGGAACUCAAAGGAGACUGCCAGUGAUAAACUGGAGGAAGGUGGGGAUGACGUCAAGUCAUCAUGGCCCUUACGACCAGGGCUACACACGUGCUACAAUGGCAUAUACAAAGAGAAGCGACCUCGCGAGAGCAAGCGGACCUCAUAAAGUAUGUCGUAGUCCGGAUUGGAGUCUGCAACUCGACUCCAUGAAGUCGGAAUCGCUAGUAAUCGUAGAUCAGAAUGCUACGGUGAAUACGUUCCCGGGCCUUGUACACACCGCCCGUCACACCAUGGGAGUGGGUUGCAAAAGAAGUAGGUAGCUUAACCUUCGGGAGGGCGCUUACCACUUUGUGAUUCAUGACUGGGGUGAAGUCGUAACAAGGUAACCGUAGGGGAACCUGCGGUUGGAUCACCU
rnacentral:rRNA from 1 species